rnacentral:SRP_RNA from 3 species
GGGUAAGUCCUAUACGACCAGCUCCCCAUGAAUCCCGCCAGGACCGGAAGGUAGCAACGGUAGUGGGUUGUAGCAGGUGCGAUGUGGGGAGCUUACCCUUU